AGUGCACUGAGAAUUGUAAUCGCUGAUGAAUAUGAUAACAGGAGCCGAAUUGGGUUGGGCAUCGACUCCACACCUAAAGAGAAAAGAUCGAAGCUUUUCUUCCAUAAGCAAAGGUGUGGUGAUCUUCCUCAGGCCAGGGGUGCUUUAAGUUUAUUCUAUCAGUGUUCUGGCUGCGUCGGCGGGUUAUUACGACAUCUGCAAAGUCCAGUACACUUGCAGUUUAGUUGCUCACUGCAACUUACACUUGCUUUGCUGAUAGCUAUUUUUCCUAUUGUGCUGUUUGUGCUUUAUUCGAGUUGAGAGCGAGUGGCUGCUAUGUGCUGUUGAUCAAGACCAAGAGGUGUUGGAUCUAUUUCCCCAGGCAUCGGAUUUCCUUCGGGGGUGAAGAUUGCAAGCUUGAAUCUCGUUCACGGCUUGUUUUCGAGAUCCGGAUGAAACUUCGUCUCGAGCUUGCUCGGAUACGAAAAAGGAUUUGUUGCCAUUUCAUUGCCACACUGUAAAUGCAUUGAUGGUCUUGCAUGCAUAUAAUAUAUAUGUAUGUGUGUAUAUAUAUAUAUAUAUGUUUUAAAAUAAAAAU